rnacentral:rRNA from 1 species
AUUGAACGCUGGCGGCAUGCCUUACACAUGCAAGUCGAACGGCAGCACGGGGGCAACCCUGGUGGCGAGUGGCGAACGGGUGAGUAACAUAUCGGAACGUGCCCUGGAGUGGGGGAUAACUAGUCGAAAGAUUAGCUAAUACCGCAUACGAUCUACGGAUGAAAGUGGGGGAUCGCAAGACCUCAUGCUCGUGGAGCGGCCGAUAUCUGAUUAGCAGUUGGUGGGGUAAAGGCCUACCAAGGCAUCGAUCAGUAGCUGGUCUGAGAGGACGACCAGCCACACUGGGACUGAGACACGGCCCAGACUCCGUACGGGGGCAGCAAUUAGGAAUCUUGCGCAAGUGGGCGGAAGCCUGACGCAGCGACGUCGCGGUGGGGGACGAAA